CCCUGGUUGAUCCUGCCAGUAGUCAUACGCUUGUCUCAAAGAUUUAAGCCAUGCAUGUCUAAGUAUAAACAAUUUUGUACUGUGAAACUGCGAAUGGCUCAUUAUAUCAGUUAUAGUCUACUCGAUAGUACCCUUACUACUUGGAUACCCGUAGUAAUUCUAGAGCUAAUACAUGCAUCAAUACCCAACUGCUUGUCGGGCGGGUAGCAUUUAUUAGAUUGAAACCAAUGCAGUCUUCGGGCUGGUAUUGUGUUGAGUCAUAAUAACUGUGCGGAUCGCGCUUUUGCGCGAUAAAUCGAUUGAGUUUCUGCCCUAUCAGCUUUGGAUGGUAGGAUAUGGGCCUACCAUGGCAUUAACGGGUAACGGGGAAUUAGGGUUUGAUUCCGGAGAGGGAGCCUUAGAAACGGCUACCACAUCCAAGGAAGGCAGCAGGCGCGUAAAUUACCCAAUCCUGACACAGGGAGGUAGUGACAAUAAAUAACAAUGCUCUGGCUCUUCGAGUCGGGCAAUUGGAAUGAGAACAAUUUAAAUCCCUUAACGAGGAUCAAUUGGAGGGCAAGUCUGGUGCCAGCAGCCGCGGUAAUUCCAGCUCCAAUAGCGUAUAUUAAAGUUGUUGCAGUUAAAAAGCUCGUAGUUGGAUUUCUGUUUUGGAUGUCCGGUCCGCUCCCUCUGGGAGUGUGUACUUAUGGAUAUUCGAGGCAUUUUUUGUGAGGCUGCCUUUCUGCCAUUAAGUUGGUGGGUUGGUGGGCUUGCAUCGUUUACUGUGAAAAAAUUAGAGUGUUUAAAGCAGGCGUUUGCUCAUUUGAAUACAUUAGCAUGGAAUAAUAAGAUACGGCCUUGGUGGUCUAUUUUGUUGGUUUGCACACCAGGGUAAUGAUAGUUGGGGGUGGUUUCUUGCCAAAAAGGACCUGAUGACGAUGUUGUAAAGAAGAAUUUGCGGCGGAAGAUUGACGGCGUGCUUACUACAAAGGAGAAGAUUACUACGAUGAUGCAAGAAUACGUGGACGUGCUGAAUCCACCACCUCCGAACGUAGAGAAACGCGAAGCGAUGUACUACAGCAUCAGACCGUACGUGCUACAUGAAUUUCAAGGCGACUCGCUGUAUGCCAAGCCGAGUGAGCAGGAAGGACUUGAUGCGAAAGCGGCGAAGCAGGCGCGUCAGGCUCACCGUGCAGCCAUGGCUAUGACUGCUAAAGGCAAUCAAGACCGUCGUGGGCGAGAAGUAGGCAGCGAUGCCCUCAACAGUCAAGCCAAGCAGCAACGUGAGGACGCGUUACGCUCAAUGGAGUGGUCUCCAGUCACUCACGAGUUUGAGGAGGGUGUCGAAGCGUACUCUGGUCUGAAUAUGGAAGAUGCACGACCGGUCGCUGAGCUACUAAACGUUUGUCACUCUCCACUACUUACAUUCUUUUACUUUAUGCCCAAGUCGCUAUGGGCCAAGAUAGCUGCAGAGACGAAUCGGUAUGGUCUUCAGCAAGUCACCAAACGUGCAGAAAGAAUUCAUGCAAAGCAACACGAUCGGAGAAAGGAGACGGUUAAGCAGAUUAGUCGGCGUUUGAAGGCAAAGCCGGGAUACGA
rnacentral:rRNA from 1 species